rnacentral:lncRNA from 1 species
AAAAGGUAGCUCCAUGUCACCACAGUGGUGACCCUUCUCUCUGACUCAUUUCCCAUUAUGAGCACAAUUAGCGUGCAGCAUGUGUCCUGGGAGAUUAAUGAUCCGCUGGAGGGAAGAAAGAGGAACUUGGGGAAUGGAUCUGGGUGUAGUCAGAGCUCGCCUCUCCCUGGGAGCUGCCUUGGUGCUGUAAAGGAUCUCAUGUCUUUUGCCAGCUUUGAUGAAACUUGCUAGUUGGAAAGCAGAGUGAAAUCUCAGGCUCUACAACUCUUGACAUAAGUAUUUUAUUCAUUUUUGGUGUCUAUGUUCUUGAAGUACUUAAGAGAUUUGGGGCUAUGCAAGUAAUAGACCAACUUUGUGAUUCAUAUUAAAAUUAAGUGAUUUAAACGCAGGAUUUUUAAUUUGAAAUUAUUUAAGUUUAUAAACAGUAUGGGAACAUUUAGAAAGACCUGGAUUCAUUCUGUUUAUAAUUGUAAUCCAUUAAAUUUAUGAAAAUUACCUAAGAAAUCUGAAAAGGUUUGGUUUAGCCAUCAGGCAAUUGAAGUACCUAAACAAGGAAAUAAAAUAUAUUAAAUUUAUAAAUCUUACUUUAAAUGUUUGAAUGAGUUAAAUAACUCCGUUUGUAUUGGGACCAAACUCUUUAACUCUUUAAGACUGCCUUAAAUCAUUUUGUUAAAAAUCUUAGAUUGAUUUCCACUUCUAUGUAGAGAGUUAGAAAGUAUAUCACCUCUACCCUAACAACAAGAAUAUGACAAAUGAAAUACAAAAUGAUAAUGUUCCUUGAACUCAUCAGAGGACUGACAUCACAGGGCAACUAAGCAACUAGAAUUCCAAAGAAGGACAAGCCCCUCCAAAGACAGGAAGCAUGAGGGCAGGCUCAUCAGUGUCAGAGCAGGGGAGACCAGCACAGACACCUUACAAGCAGAAUGACCUUCUGUGGCUACAGAGAAAGGCUUCAGGCAAAGAGAUGCAGCUCUGGGCCCCAGAGUCCGCUGGAGCACACUGAAGCUGGAGCACACUGAAGUGGAAGAUGGGGCUGCAGACAGAGACUGGGCAGCCUCUGCUCCAGGGAGGCCCGAGAGCCAGAGAGCAGAUUCCAUAAGAAGAAUAACUCCCAUUCCUCAUGCAUGAGACCCUCUGCUAAAUGCUUCCUGUGCACCACCUCCAGAAAUCCUCCCAAGCCAGGACACCAGCAGUAUUACAGGUAAGAAAAUGGAGGCUCCCAGAGAUUUGACAACCUGCCCGCAGCAAUGACCAAAUCAGACUUGGUGCUAAGUCUGCACCUCCCCAAAGUCAGUGUGUUUGUAUGCUCUGCUGCCACUGCCCCCCGCUGGCCCUGCACAUGAUGUGAACCAUCAGGCAGACCUGGAGUUCUGUCUCCUGGGUGGGCUGCUUGCCAACACCAGGGUGGCUGGCCCCUGCCUGUGUCAGGUCCUGCAGUGUUGACUCUCUUCGUGUGAUGUUGGGCAGGUGGAGCUGGUUGUGCUGAGCCUGAGGAAACAUCCAAUGUGCCAAACUUUCUUGUGUGUUUCCCUCUGCUGGUUAUUUAGUAAGCCCAGGAAAAGAGCAAAUCCUGCCCCCAACAGAUGAUCCUCUCGAUGAGAGUGGUUAUGGUGAUGAUGCCAGCAUGCAGUGGGGAGAUUCGACUUUUCGAGAUUCUUCCAGCCCUUUGCUUCCCACAUUUCAUAAUGCUUGAUGGCAACAGCUCUGCUGACUGUUUGGGAAAAAGACAAUACUUAUGUCCCUUUUAGAGACACUUUACUCAGUCCCUCCCGCAAUGCUUAGUACGCAGAGAAAAUAGUAAAAUUAACCCGAUUUGCUCAUCA